AAAAAUAAACAAAAAAGAUAAAAAAAUUAUAAAAAAUACGAAAAUAAAACCACUAAAUCGCCAAAUUUAAAAUCGCCAAAACAUCAUUCACACCUUGCAGAUUCGCCCUCAGAUAGGGUCAAGGCCUGUUUGCUGACAACUGAGGCUGCAACAAUACCAAAUCUAACUUCCUAUUCUAUUAUAAUCCGAUCCCAUUUACACCAUGCAGAUUCGCCCUCAGAUAGGGUCAAGGCCUGUUUGCUGACAACUGAGGGUAAAUAAAUUAUUCAUAAUAAAUCAUUUUAUUUUAAAUUUUCAAGCUGCAACAAUACCAAAUCUAACUUCCUAUUCUAUUAUAAUCCGAUCUCUCAUUUACACCUAGC